UACGGAGGGUGCAAGCGUUAUCCGGAUUUACUGGGGUUAAAGGGUGUGUAGGCGGGCCUUUAAGUCUGGGGUGAAAUCUCCGAGCUCAACUCGGAAACUGCCCUGGAUACUAUUGGUCUUGAAUUAUGUUGAGGUUGGCGGAAUAUAACAUGUAGCGGUGAAAUGCAUAGAUAUGUUAUAGAACACCGAUUGCGAAGGCAGCUAACUAAGCAUAUAUUGACGCUGAGGCACGAAAGCGUGGGGAUCAAACAGG
rnacentral:rRNA from 1 species